rnacentral:lncRNA from 1 species
AAAAAUACCCAAUUGGUAGAAUCUAGAAGAAAAAAAAUGGGUCUUUCAAUAAGCAGUUCAUCCACUCAAUCAAAUACCCACAAAUUCUUCCUCUUCACCAAUUACAUCCUCUUGGGUGCAGCUUCUAGCUGCAUUUUCCUAACUCUCUCCCUCCGCUUAAUUCCGUCGCUUGCCGGAUUCUUCCUAAUCCUCCUCCACAUCCUCACCAUCGCCGGAGCAAUUGCCGGCUGUGCCGCCGCCUCCUCUGGUGCCGGAAAAUGGUAUGCAGCCCACAUGAUGGCUACCGUCCUCACCGCGAUAUUUCAAGGCUCUGUAUCAGUGCUGAUUUUCACAAGUAGCAGAAAUUUUCUUGGGAAUCUCAAAUCAUAUGUUAGGGAAGAAGAUGCUGUGGUG